UGGGGAAUAUUGGACAAUGGGCGAAAGCCUGAUCCAGCCAUGCCGCGUGUGUGAAGAAGGUCUUCGGAUUGUAAAGCACUUUAAGUUGGGAGGAAGGGCACUUACCUAAUACGUAUCUGUUUUGACGUUACCGACAGAAUAAGCACCGGCUAACUCUGUGCCAGCAGCCGCGGUAAUACAGAGGGUUGCAAGCGUUAAUCGGAAUUACUGGGCGUAAAGCGCGCGUAGGUGGUUAGUUAAGUUGGAUGUGAAAUCCCCGGGCUCAACCUGGGAACUGCAUUCAAAACUGACUGACUAGAGUAUGGUAGAGGGUGGUGGAAUUUCCUGUGUAGCGGUGAAAUGCGUAGAUAUAGGAAGGAACACCAGUGGCGAAGGCGACCACCUGGACUGAUACUGACACUGAGGUGCGAAAGCGUGGGGAGCAAACAGGAUUAGAUACCCGUGUAGUCCCUGAGCGGGCUGGCAAGGCGCAU
rnacentral:rRNA from 1 species